ACGCGCCAAACCUUACCAAGGCUUAAAUGUAGAUUGACCGGUUUGGAAACAGAUCUUUCGCAAGACAAUUUACAAGGUGCUGCAUGGUUGUCGUCAGCUCGUGCCGUGAGGUGUCAGGUUAAGUCCUAUAACGAGCGCAACCCCUGUUGUUAGUUGCCAGCGAGUCAAGUCGGGAACUCUAACAAAGACUGCCAGUGCAAACUGUGAGGAAGGUGGGGAUGACGUCAAAUCAUCACGGCCCUUACGCCUU
rnacentral:rRNA from 1 species